CCGUGCUAGGCGGGGAGGUAGCGGUGCCCUGUACUCGCAAUCCGCUAUAGCGAGGCUGAACUCCUUUCCGAGGUUUAGCCAGUUUAAGGCCUGACUUAAGUAAGUGGUGUGGACAUUCGGGUCCUGCGCAACGGAAACUCAUGAACCCUGUCAGGUCCGGAAGGAAGCAGCAGUAAGUGGGAACUUUCGUGUGCCGCAGGGUUGCCUGAAUCGAGCUAACUGCUUGAGUAACGCUUAGGCUGGUUCUAUCAAUGGAAGGUGCACGG
rnacentral:SRP_RNA from 1 species